UACAGAGGGUGCAAGCGUUGUUCGGAAUUAUUGGGCGUAAAGCGCGUGUAGGCGGUCUGAUUAGUUUGAUGUGAAAGCCCUGGGCUCAACCCAGGAAGUGCAUUGGAUACUGUCAGACUUGAAUACGGGAGAGGGUAGUGGAAUUCCUAGUGUAGGAGUGAAAUCCGUAGAUAUUAGGAGGAACACCGGUGGCGAAGGCGGCUACCUGGACCGAUAUUGACGCUGAGACGCGAAAGCGUGGGUAGCAAACAGG
rnacentral:rRNA from 1 species